rnacentral:rRNA from 1 species
AUGUUAAGCUUGUUCAACCUAGAUAUUAUUGAAGAGGAAGCUACCAUAGUUGAACAACAGCAACAACAACCGGAUACAAUGGAACAAGUGUGGCAUCUCUCGAUCAAUGCAGUCUCGGGAACUGAGGCACCCAGUUGCUUGCAACUACACGGUUGGCUACAGGGACAUGAAGUUCUGAUGCUGGUCGACUCUCGUAGUUCAACCUCAUUUGUUUCUCAUCACUUAUUGGCCAGCUUGCAAGGAGUGCAGGCUAUGCCCAAGUCCGUCAAAGUGGUUGUAGACAAUGGGUCUGAGUUGUGGUGA